GCUAUUUGAGGUGGACAAUUUCGUGGCAUCCAUACGCCGAUGGUAACGACAGGGGGAACCCGAGAGAUGCAGGAGAACGCCACGCCUGCCAAAUAGC
rnacentral:ncRNA from 17 species